AUUGAACGCUGGCGGCAUGCCUUACACAUGCAAGUCGAACGGUAACGCGGGGCAACCUGGCGACGAGUGGCGAACGGGUGAGUAAUGCAUCGGAACGUGCCCAGUAGUGGGGGAUAGCCCGGCGAAAGCCGGAUUAAUACCGCAUACGACCUAUGGGUGAAAGCGGGGGACUCGCAAGGGCCUCGCGCUAUUGGAGCGGC
rnacentral:rRNA from 1 species